GUAAGACAAUAAAGAACAUCACAUUUAUUAAAAGUGGCAUAAUACAUUAUUAUUUCUGCAUCAAAUAAAAGGUAUAAUGAAAUCGAAAUAAUAAAAUGUAUAAAAUAAAUAUAUAAAUUGGAACAAGAUCAUUAUCAUGUUUGACAUUAGUUAAAAAUGCUGAAGAAUAUUACCAUUUUAAGUGCAAUACAUUUUCAAAUUGAUUUUCAAAUAUGUUUUGAAAUAAGGUUGUAACUCAUUCAUUUUUCUAUUUUCCAGGAUUAUAAAAAUACUUAAUGCAGUGUAAAAACUGCAAAUUCAGCAGUUCGAGUGAAGACGUCCUUCUAAAGCACUAUCGGCUGCAUCACCCAAGCAUUUCCAGCUGGCCUUGUAUUCAUACGGGGUGUGUUUGUGUCUUCAGGACAGCAGGCUUAGAGACCGAGUCCUUGUGACCCUGAGGACAUACCUGCACCAUUAAACUUGCCUGAUGGCUUUACUACUGCGAGUUGUCAUUUCUUCAACUGAUGCCCGGCGACUUCAGCUUUUUGAAGUGCCACAGUCUGUAGAGUCCCUUAUUAGUAUUCUGAAGGAGAAACUGCAGUUACAAGGACAGUUUGUCUUGCAGUUUCAGGACCCUGAUUUUGGGAAUGCCCUUUGCAGCCUGACUGACAUCUCGGAACUGCCCAGUGACAAAGCAGUCUUGCAUAUUCAGUGGUGCAAUUCAUCAUUGUCUGAAACCAGCCUUUCUGUGUCAUCUCUUGAUACUGCUAGUGUUGAUGACUCUGAUGGAUCCUUGACCAGCUCCACAGCCUCUGUACAAAGGUAUUUGCGCACAGCCUCAGAAUGGCCACUGCCAUUCCCCAUCCCACCCCUGUCAUUUGAUGUCGAGCUAAAACUACGACGAGGCAAUGAGACAUAUGCAGAAACACAGACAGGCAUUGAUGUGACCAGAGACAUAAAGAUGGAGA